UUCUGUUCCUCCCACUCUUUCUCAUUUUUUUUCAUUCUUACAAAUUUAUUUGAUCUUUAUUUUUUAGUUCAUAUCAGAUCUUUGAAUUAUAGGAUUUUUUAAGUUUGAAGGAAGAAAGAUUUGAUGAAAACAAAGUCCAGGCUAAAAAUUAAAAAAAAAUGCUUUUAAUUUCUUGGAUAACAAAAAAGCAAAGAUAUUAGAUAUGAAACUAUAUAUAAGGUA